rnacentral:tRNA from 1 species
GCCCGGGUGGCGGAAUGGUAUACGCGCAACACUUAAAAUGUUGUGGCCUCAGGUCAUGCGGGUUCGACUCCCGCCCCGGGCA